rnacentral:misc_RNA from 1 species
UGGGCAAAGCAGGAGGACUGGCCCUGGUGGGGUGGGUUGCAGGAGAGCCAGGUAGAUUAACAACUCAGCUACCACUCCUAUCUCCCAUUUUAGGAGAUCUGACUCCCUCUUUUGGUCUCCAUAGGCAUCAGGCAUGGAUGUAGUCUACAGAUAUGCAUGCAGGCAAAGCAUUCAUAUGCAUAAAAUAAAUCUUUUUUUUUAAAUUUCAGAGUGAAAAUCCUGGGGAACAUUCAAGCUGCAUGCAAACUGCAACACAGAACAGUUGUGUUCCUGUGGACCACUGAAGAACAGUUUGAGUAAAAUUUAACCAAGGAGGGGCUUGGGAACAGGAACCUGGUGAGGUGCUGCACAGCAUGUUAGAUUCACCCUGGCCAAGGUACCACCAGACACCAGCGUUCUUGGCUGUCUCUGGGGUGGGCAGACUGCCAUCUAACUGCUGCAGGUCUCCAUGGUCCACUGUGCAGCUGUGGAAGCCACAGUCCUCCUCACAGCUUAGGUCUGUCUGUCUCUUGCAUUUGUGAGUUGUGGGCAUGAAAGAACUGCUUAGGAAGGAGAGAGACCCUCAAGUCCCCGUGUUUCUCGAGACAUUCCUAGUAAGCCUGCAAUUAAAGCCACCAUGCUGUGGCAUCUCAGAAAAUGGAAUUUGCAUAAUUUGAAAUUUGAGGAAAAUCUCUAAAUACUUUAAUUUUGAUAGAAACCAUUUCCACGGCUGACAUGUGUCUACACCUAUAAUUUCAGCUGAUAAAUUGCUGUAAUUUCUCCUCC